CCUGCCUGCAGAAAGGAGCUAUCCACUCCAGAUGUCCUUUCUUCUGAGAGCUGGACACUUGUUGGGAUGACCUGCCUGCAGGUAGG
ensembl:miRNA